AUUACUUCAAAACAUAAUGCCUUCAAACAACAGCACAUUUGGUUGUGUGUGUGGCAGGGUGGAGAUCAGGAUUUCUGGAGCUGCUUAGCUGAGAGGUUUUGGUUAAGGGUCUCCCAGGAGGUUGCCAUGAAGGUGCAGGCUGGGGUCACAGGCACUGGAAGGCAUGGCUGGAGCAAGCAGACCAUUUCCAAGUGGCUCACUCUCAUAGCUGCCAAGUUGGUGAUUGCUGUUUGUAGAUACAUCCAGUUCCUUCCACAUCAACCCUGCCAUAGGCUGCUUGAGUAGUCUCAUGACAUGGCAGCUGGCUCACCCCAGAAUAAGGAAAUGACUUACUGCAAAGAACCACUCUUCCCCACGAGACUUCGAGAAGACCCGCUGUCACGGACUGAGUUGUGUCCUCUUAAAAUUCAGAUGUUGGAGUCCAAACCCCCAGUAACUCAGAGUGUGAACGUAUUUGAAGAGGUCUUUAAAGAGGUGAUGAAGGGAGAGAGACCCCAUGAGCUCGUCAAGCUCCUUCUGUGACUGAUCAGAGAUCCCACCGUGAGUCCAGCUCCUGGUCCCAUGCUCUGGAUAUAUCGGUCCCUGGCAGCGUGGCUCCAUCUCCGUAGCCUGCUUUUGACAAAAGUGGAUACAUAAAUCUAGGGGCCACCUAGCUAGUUCUAAUAAGACUUUGGAAGUCAAAAGCUAAAGAAGACCAGGGGACCAAGCUGGAAAUCAGGCUCUGCAAUCAGAUUCCAGAGGGAAUGCCAUUCCACCCAAUCACCUAGCCACAACGGUUCCCUUCCUUCAAGAUGCUGCAUGCCUCUUCAGGCGAAUGGAUUACCUUGUAAGAGUGACCUGAAAAAGCGUUAGCCCAGCCACACCGAGGCUUAACUGAGCCAUUUGAUUCUCACUGCCUCUCUCUGUUGCUUCCUCUUGCUUUCAACUACAGGGUCUUUCUGUUUAGGUGGUGAAAAAAAUGAUCGUUAAAAACAAUAAACCUGGGGACCUCUGAUACCAUGAGCCCAGCCAGAGAUCUGUGUCAAGCAAAUCCUUGCAGACAGUUCUGCCAGCCUGCAGAUGGCUGUUUGCCUCUCGUGGAUUUGAUAAGUGCUCAUUUAUGCCCAGAGGCCUCUGGGAGAUAGUGCUCAUGCUGAGCUUACAAACUGAAAACCAUUAUCUGUUCCUUACCUGAGACCCUGGGGAGCAGUCAGCUCACUCCCUGCCGAUGGCCUAAGAUAGGUACUGAUGUUACAGUUGAGGAAUAUCUAGGAGUAACAAACUUAAGUAGCUGGAAUAUGCCAAUUUUGACAAUUUGACAACAUCAUUAUAAACAUUCUGAAGUACUUACAA
rnacentral:lncRNA from 1 species